rnacentral:rRNA from 1 species
AAUAGAUACCCAGGUAGUCCACGCCGUAAACGAUGAAUGCUAGGUGUUAGGGGUUUCGAUACCCUUGGUGCCGAAGUUAACACAUUAAGCAUUCCGCCUGGGGAGUACGGUCGCAAGACUGAAACUCAAAGGAAUUGACGGGGACCCGCACAAGCAGUGGAGUAUGUGGUUUAAUUCGAAGCAACGCGAAGAACCUUACCAGGUCUUGACAUCCCUCUGACCGGUCUAGAGAUAGGCCUUCCCUUCGGGGCAGAGGAGACAGGUGGUGCAUGGUUGUCGUCAGCUCGUGUCGUGAGAUGUUGGGUUAAGUCCCGCAACGAGCGCAACCCUUGAUCUUAGUUGCCAGCAGGUUGAGCUGGGCACUCUAGGAUGACUGCCGGUGACAAACCGGAGGAAGGUGGGGAUGACGUCAAAUCAUCAUGCCCCUUAUGACCUGGGCUACACACGUACUACAAUGGCCGAUACAACGGGAAGCGAAGUCGCGAGAUGGAGCCAAUCCUAUCAAAGUCGGUCUCAGUUCGGAUUGCAGG